CCUGAUCCACCCACAACUACCUUUCGACCAUUUUCACAAUUCUAUCUUUCCUAGACAAGCCGAUUUUCAACCCCUUGACUCAGUCAUACCUAUAUCACACAUUACCACCCUCUCUAUCAUCCCAGCAAGAUGUCGAUUCGUGACCUACUCACCGAAUAUGCUCGUGCGGGCGCGGCUCUCGCACACCUUCACAUUAAAAAACUUCUCGUAAACGGCGUUAUCUACAACCACUUUGUGAAUCGUAUUCGCUUAUCUUAAAUUUCGUUUGUCAGGGUUUUUUUUUUCUUUCGUUACGUUGCUUGCCAGUCCGAAUAAAUUUUUUUUUAAAAAGGUAAACUCUUUCGACGUUCAUACAAAAUUAGACUGAUAGAUGAUUCUUUUCUUUAAAAUAAAAAGAAAAAAAAAUUAGAAAAAAAAAAAAAACAAAAAAAUAUUCUCAAUUGUCUCUUUGUUUCCAAUCGAUAAUAUUAGAGAUAUAACGGGUUAAAAUCAAUAUAUUCAAUACUUGUUGAAAACGAGGAAGCGGUAAAUUUGAAACUUCACGACGAGUUAGCUUUUCAAAUGGCAGAGAGAGAGAGAGAGAGAGAGAGAGAGAGAGAGAGAAGAGAGAGAGAGAGUUUACCAAAAGAAGAAUCAUAGUCGUUUUCGUUGACUCUAUAAGACUAGUAUUAGUAUUAGUAUUAGUAGAUAUUCUAGAAUAUGGUAUACGUGCCACACAAACGGCGACAGCUGCUUGCCGAUCGUCUCUUUCGAAGGGGAAUUAAAAUGAGACCUAGUUGCCGAAGAAGGGAGCGUCCCUCGCAAAACUUGCCGGCCAUGGUUACACCUCCUUCUUAUUCUCAUUCGUUGAGAGCCUUACGAAUUCUUCUUUCCUAUGGUCAACGGUACUGAAGAUUCUAUCCUCCUUCUUCUUUCUUUUGUCCUUGAACGAAUAAAGAAACAAAACAAAAAAAAAUUUAUUCAGUCAUCUCAAUCUCUCGCGUUAAUAUAACAACAAUUUUUUUAAAAAUAUAUUUCUUUUUUCUUUUUUUCUUCUUUUUUUUUCUUUUUUUUUUUUUUUUUUUUUACAAUUUAUAAAACUUCGAACUUCUUAUUCUCUAAAAAUCUGUUACAAUUUCAGAAUAGGUAUGUAAAAAUGAUCAUCGAGCAUUUAUUAAAGUCUAAAGAUCGUUCGUAUAUUUAUACGCAACAGAGCGUACGUAUUUACAUACAUACGCCUGUCUGUUUAUCGAAUCAUGAAAGUGUCGUGUGGGUUGUCUCAGAACACGCACCGGAAGUCCAAAAAUGGAAGCUUAUUUUUCUGGAUAUCCCUCUCAUUCAUGAAUACGAAGGUUGAUUCUGUUUCUAUUAAAAAAAAAAAAAAAAAAAAAAAAAAAAAGAGAAA